UCCCGUGUGGCUCAGUUGGUAGAGCAUGGUGUUUGCAAUGCCAGGGUUGUGGGUUCGAUUCCCAGUAUGGGAA
rfam:Salmo salar isolate Sally breed double haploid chromosome ssa12, whole genome shotgun sequence.